AGUGAACGCUGGCGGUAGACCUAACACAUGCAAGUCGAACGGCAGCACAGUAAGAGCUUGCUCUUACGGGUGGCGAGUGGCGGACGGGUGAGGAAUACAUCGGAAUCUACUUUUUCGUGGGGGAUAACGUAGGGAAACUUACGCUAAUACCGCAUACGACCUACGGGUGAAAGCAGGGGAUCUUCGGACCUUGCGCGAUUGAAUGAGCCGAAGUCGGAUUAGCUAGUUGGCGGGGUAAAGGCCCACCAAGGCGACGAUCCGUAGCUGGUCUGAGAGGAUGAUCAGCCACACUGGAACUGAGACACGGUCCAGACUCCUACGGGAGGCAGCAGUGGGGAAUAUUGGACAAUGGGCGCAAGCCUGAUCCAGCCAUACCGCGUGGGUGAAGAAGGCCUUCGGGUUGUAAAGCCCUUUUGUUGGGAAAGAAAAGCAGCAGGUUAAUACCCCGCUGUUCUGACGGUACCCAAAGAAUAAGCACCGGCUAACUUCGUG
rnacentral:rRNA from 1 species